rnacentral:rRNA from 1 species
UUAGAGUUUGAAUCCUGGCUCAGAUUGAACGCUGGCGGCAGGCCUAACACAUGCAAGUCGAGCGGAUGAAGGGAGCUUGCUCCUGGAUUCAGCGGCGGACGGGUGAGUAAUGCCUAGGAAUCUGCCUGGUAGUGGGGGAUAACGUCCGGAAACGGGCGCUAAUACCGCAUACGUCCUGAGGGAGAAAGUGGGGGAUCUUCGGACCUCACGCUAUCAGAUGAGCCUAGGUCGGAUUAGCUAGUUGGUGGGGUAAAGGCCUACCAAGGCGACGAUCCGUAACUGGUCUGAGAGGAUGAUCAGUCACACUGGAACUGAGACACGGUCCAGACUCCUACGGGAGGCAGCAGUGGGGAAUAUUGGACAAUGGGCGAAAGCCUGAUCCAGCCAUGCCGCGUGUGUGAAGAAGGUCUUCGGAUUGUAAAGCACUUUAAGUUGGGAGGAAGGGCAGUAAGUUAAUACCUUGCUGUUUGAC